AAUAGAUACCCGGGUAGUCCACGCCGUAAACGAUGUCGACUUGGAGGUUGUUCCCUUGAGGAGUGGCUUCCGGAGCUAACGCGUUAAGUCGACCGCCUGGGGAGUACGGCCGCAAGGUUAAAACUCAAAUGAAUUGACGGGGGCCCGCACAAGCGGUGGAGCAUGUGGUUUAAUUCGAUGCAACGCGAAGAACCUUACCUACUCUUGACAUCCAGAGAACUUUCCAGAGAUGGAUUGGUGCCUUCGGGAACUCUGAGACAGGUGCUGCAUGGCUGUCGUCAGCUCGUGUUGUGAAAUGUUGGGUUAAGUCCCGCAACGAGCGCAACCCUUAUCCUUUGUUGCCAGCGGUUCGGCCGGGAACUCAAAGGAGACUGCCAGUGAUAAACUGGAGGAAGUGGGGAUGACGUCAAGUCAUCAUGGCCCUUACGAGUAGGGCUACACACGUGCUACAAUGGCGUAUACAAAGAGAAGCGACCUCGCGAGAGCAAGCGGACCUCAUAAAGUACGUCGUAGUCCGGAUUGGAGUCUGCAACUCGACU
rnacentral:rRNA from 1 species